ACGUAGGUGGCAAGCGUUGUCCGGAAUUAUUGGGCGUAAAGCGCGCGCAGGCGGUCCUUUAAGUCUGAUGUGAAAGCCCACGGCCCAACCGUGGAAGGUCAUUGGAAACUGGAGGACUUGAGUACAGAAGAGGAAAGCGGAAUUCCACGUGUAGCGGUGAAAUGCGUAGAGAUGUGGAGGAACACCAGUGGCGAAGGCGGCUUUCUGGUCUGUAACUGACGCUGAGGCGCGAAAGCGUGGGGAGCAAACAGG
rnacentral:rRNA from 1 species